rnacentral:rRNA from 1 species
AACGAACGCUGGCGGCAGGCUUAACACAUGCAAGUCGAGCGCCCCGCAAGGGGAGCGGCAGACGGGUGAGUAACGCGUGGGAAUCUACCCAUCUCUACGGAAUAACGCAUGGAAACGUGUGCUAAUACCGAAUACGUCCUUCGGGCGACAGAUUUAUCUGAGAUGGAUGAGCCCGCGUUGGAUUAGUUAGUUGGUGGGGCAAAGUCCUAACAAGGGGACGAUCCAUAGCUGGUCUGGGAGGAUGAUCAGCCACACUGGGACUGAGACACGGCCCAGACUCCUACGGGAGGCAGCAGUGGGGAAUAUUGGAAAAUGGGCGCAAGCCUGAUCCAGCCAUGCCGCGUGAGUGAUGAAGGCCCUAGGGUUGUAAAGCUCUUUCACCGGUGAAGAUAAUGACGGUAACCGGAGAAGAAGCCCCGGCUAACUUCGUGCCAGCCGCCGCCGUAAUAC